UACGGAGGGAGCUAGCGUUAUUCGGAAUUACUGGGCGUAAAGCGUGCGCAGGCGGUGAUGUAAGACAGAUGUGAAAUCCCCGGGCUCAACCUGGGAACUGCAUUUGUGAUGCAUCGCUGGAGUACGGCAGAGGGGGAUGGAAUUCCGCGUGUAGCAGUGAAAUGCGUAGAUAUGCGGAGGAACACCGAUGGCGAAGGCAAUCCCCUGGGCCUGCACUGACGCUCAUGCACGAAAGCGUGGGGAGCAAACAGG
rnacentral:rRNA from 1 species